GGGUUGUGAGGUUAAGCGACUAAGCGUACACGGUGGAUGCCCUGGCAGUCAGAGGCGAUGAAGGACGUGCUAAUCUGCGAUAAGCGUCGGUGAGGUGAUAUGAACCGUUAUAACCGGCGAUUUCCGAAUGGGGAAACCCAGUGUGUUUCGACACACUAUCAUUAACUGAAUCCAUAGGUUAAUGAGGCGAACCGGGGGAACUGAAACAUCUAAGUACCCCGAGGAAAAGAAAUCAACCGAGAUUCCCCCAGUAGCGGCGAGCGAACGGGGAGGAGCCCAGAGCCUGAAUCAGUGUGUGUGUUAGUGGAAGCGUCUGGAAAGGCGUGCGAUACAGGGUGACAGCCCCGUACACAAAAAUGCACAUAUUGUGAGCUCGAUGAGUAGGGCGGGACACGUGGUAUCCUGUCUGAAUAUGGGGGGACCAUCCUCCAAGGCUAAAUACUCCUGACUGACCGAUAGUGAACCAGUACCGUGAGGGAAAGGCGAAAAGAACCCCGGCGAGGGGAGUGAAAAAGAACCUGAAACCGUGUACGUACAAGCAGUGGGAGCCUCUUAAUGGGGUGACUGCGUACCUUUUGUAUAAUGGGUCAGCGACUUAU
rnacentral:rRNA from 1 species